rnacentral:tmRNA from 1 species
AAGCUUUUUUUUGUGGCGGAUCUUCCCUAUAUUCGGGGGGCCGGAUUCGUCCGGCUAUGGCGAUAAAUGGACGUCGGAAUAAGCCUAUCGGACCCGGGGGCAGUACCCGGCGCCUCCACCAUGUGCCGCCGCAACGAAAUCUCCAUCUUUCGGCGGCAGAUGAUGGGGGCGAACUAGGAUCGACGAGGGUGUAAAGGAUGCGCUUUUGCCCGGCAUGAUACCGCCGUUAUCGGGUCAUACAGAAUAGUUGCCAACGACAACUAUGCUGAGGCCGCUCUCGCUGCGUAAUGCAGCGCGAUACGCCUAAAUCGAAGCCCUGACGCCUAGCAGCGGCAGGCGCGGUCCGGAGGGCACCGGGCAACAGAAGCCCUCCACU